rnacentral:rRNA from 1 species
GAGGACCCUUUGCGGCGCGCCUAACACAUGCAAGUCGAACGAGCGAGAGAGAGCUUGCUUUCUCAAGCGAGUGGCGAACGGGUGAGUAACGCGUGAGGAACCUGCCUCAAAGAGGGGGACAACAGUUGGAAACGACUGCUAAUACCGCAUAAGCCCACGGGUCGGCAUCGACCAGAGGGAAAAGGAGCAAUCCGCUUUGAGAUGGCCUCGCGUCCGAUUAGCUAGUUGGUGAGGAAACGGCCCACCAAGGCAACGAUCGGUAGCCGGACUGAGAGGUUGAACGGCCACAUUGGGACUGAGACACGGCCCAGACUCCUACGGGAGGCAGCAGUGGGGAAUAUUGCACAAUGGGGGAAACCCUGAUGCAGCGACGCCGCGUGGAGGAAGAAGGUCUUCGGAUUGUAAACUCCUGUUGUUGAGGAAGAUAAUGACGGUACUCAACAAGGAAGUGACGGCUAACUACGUGCCAGCAGCCGCGGUAAAACGUAGGUCACAAGCGUUGUCCGGAAUUACUGGGUGUAAAGGGAGCGCAGGCGGGAAGACAAGUUGGAAGUGAAAUCCAUGGGCUCAACCCAUGAACUGCUUUCAAAACUGUUUUUCUUGAGUAGUGCAGAGGUAGGCGGAAUUCCCGGUGUAGCGGUGGAAUGCGUAGAUAUCGGGAGGAACACCAGUGGCGAAGGCGGCCUACUGGGCACCAACUGACGCUGAGGCUCGAAAGUGUGGGUAGCAAACAGGAUUAGAUACCCUGGUAGUCCACACCGUAAACG